rnacentral:rRNA from 1 species
GAUGAACGCUGGCGGCGUGCCUAAUACAUGCAAGUCGAGCGAACGGACGAGAAGCUCGCUUCUCUGAUGUUAGCGGCGGACGGGUGAGUAACACGUGGAUAACCUACCUAUAAGACUGGGAUAACUUCGGGAAACCGGAGCUAAUACCGGAUAAUAUUUUGAACCGCAUGGUUCAAAAGUGAAAGACGGUCUUGCUGUCACUUAUAGAUGGAUCCGCGCUGCAUUAGCUAGUUGGUAAGGUAACGGCUUACCAAGGCAACGAUGCAUAGCCGACCUGAGAGGGUGAUCGGCCACACUGGAACUGAGACACGGUCCAGACUCCUACGGGAGGCAGCAGUAGGGAAUCUUCCGCAAUGGGCGAAAGCCUGACGGAGCAACGCCGCGUGAGUGAUGAAGGUCUUCGGAUCGUAAAACUCUGUUAUUAGGGAAGAACAUAUGUGUAAGUAACUGUGCACAUCUUGACGGUACCUAAUCAGAAAGCCACGGCUAACUACGUG